UCGCAAGGCUUCCAGCAUGGCUGGGUCUGUGGAGUGACCCUGGCCAUUCCUGUGGCUCUUGCUAGAGGAGGCGUUUGAGACGGUUUGAGGCCUUUCUCUGCCCCAACUUCAGAGAGAGGUUAUAGAAAUCUCGGCCAAGC